GUCGCUUCUUGGCCUUUUGGCUAAGAUCAAGUGUAGUAUCUGAUCCUUAGAGUCCAAAGAGCUGCAUGUGUCUGGAUAUCAUUUUACUGAAGAACAGCAGCAGCAGUAGCAGCAGGGAACUGCUAUCUUAUAGCAGCAGAAGAAAACUACUGCUCCCACAUUUUGCUGUAGUUUCAAGGUGGCAUCUCU